ACUCCUACGGGAGGCAGCAGUGGGGAAUUUUCCGCAAUGGGCGAAAGCCUGACGGAGCAACGCCGCGUGAGGGAGGAAGGUCUUUGGAUUGUAAACCUCUUUUCUCAAGGAAGAAGUUCUGACGGUACUUGAUGAAUAAGCCACGGCUAAUUCCGUGCCAGCAGCCGCGGUAAUAC
rnacentral:rRNA from 1 species